UGCAGUCGAACGAUGAAGCAGAGCUUGCUCUGUGGAUUAGUGGCGAACGGGUGAGUAACACGUGAGUAACCUGCCCUUGACUCUGGGAUAAGCACUGGAAACGGUGUCUAAUACCGGAUAUGAGCUUCAGCCGCAUGGCUAGGAGCUGGAAAGAAUUUCGGUCAAGGAUGGACUCGCGGCCUAUCAGCUAGUUGGUGAGGUAAUGGCCCACCAAGGCGACGACGGGUAGCCGGCCUGAGAGGGUGACCGGCCACACUGGGACUGAGACACGGCCCAGACUCCUACGGGAGGCAGCAGUGGGGAAUAUUGCACAAUGGGCGCAAGCCUGAUGCAGCAACGCCGCGUGAGGGACGAAGGCCUUCGGGUUGUAAACCUCUUUUAGUAGGGAAGAAGCGAAAGUGACGGUACCUGCAGAAAAAGCACCGGCUAACUACGUGCCAGCAGCCGCGGUAAUACGUAGGGUGCAAGCGUUAUCCGGAAUUAUUGGGCGUAAAGAGCUCGUAGGCGGUUUGUCGCGUCUGCUGUGAAAACUGGGGGCUCAACCCCCAGCCUGCAGUGGGUACGGGCAGACUAGAGUGCGGUAGGGGAGAUUGGAAUUCCUGGUGUAGCGGUGGAAUGCGCAGAUAUCAGGAGGAACACCGAUGGCGAAGGCAGAUCUCUGGGCCGUAACUGACGCUGAGGAGCGAAAGCAUGGGGAGCGAACAGGAUUAGAUACCCUGGUAGUCCAUGCCGUAAACGUUGGGAACUAGAUGUAGGGUCCAUUCCACGGAUUCUGUGUCGCAGCUAACGCAUUAAGUUCCCCGCCUGGGGAGUACGGCCGCAAGGCUAAAACUCAAAGGAAUUGACGGGGGCCCGCACAAGCGGCGGAGCAUGCGGAUUAAUUCGAUGCAACGCGAAGAACCUUACCAAGGCUUGACAUAUACCGGAAACGUCUGGAAACAGUCGCCCCGCAAGGUCGGUAUACAGGUGGUGCAUGGUUGUCGUCAGCUCCUGUCGUGAGAUGUUGGG
rnacentral:rRNA from 1 species